GGCAAGGGUGCGUUUGGGGAGGUAAUUAUUUAUGUGCCUUCUCAACAAUCAACAUACCAUACUAAUAUAGGCAGACCUCUUUUCCGUUUUUCCUUGCUUAGUUUCUUUACAAAAUCUAAAACAAGGAUACAUGCACACUCACAAAUGAAAAUGUUUUCUACUUGUUUGCAAAUAGUGUUAUAACCUUUUGCAUUUAUGUUUUCUGAGGGGUUCUUUU
rnacentral:misc_RNA from 1 species